UGUGGAAUGCUGAGAAAGGUAAAAACACCUCCAAAUAAGGAAGAGGAACAGACUAUGACUUAAUACUUGCUUGGACCAGUGUAAGCAUGCCAGGGCAAAUAUUUAGGCUAAAUUGUGGGAGCUAAGAACACAAAGUACAUUGAUUUCUUUAUUAUAGCUAGCAGAUAUCUAAGAAUGUUAGCACAGGUCUUUGAAUAAAUUUUGUUUCUGAGAGAAGUUACUAUUUAUUCCUAAUUAGACGGGGAGGAAAGUCUCUUUGAAGAGGAACCUCUAUUUUAUUUUUACACUCAGAAGCCCGGGCAGCUCUGCCGGGAGUGCAGGGAGGCAGCUCUCCUGGGGGUGCAGAACACAUUGGAUACACCGGUUAUUUUACCAAGGCUUUGGCUGGAAUGUUACAUUUUUGAAUGUGACCAAACUGCUUUGAGGAAUUGAGGCUGACUUUAUAAAGCCAAUAGACAUGGGAAAGACUGGCCUCAUGCCUUGCCCACACGGUUCUCUUACAAGGUUCCUCAGCUUGCGAGAGUUUAUCGGAGCAUUCAGAGAUUCAAGAAUUGGGGCAGCACCAGACCACAAGGGGCUAUCACUCCAUCAAGAAAGGCAAGAGGGGAAACUUUCAUGCGCG